UUCCGUAGGUGAACCUGCGGAGGGAUCAUUACCGAGUUUACAACUCCCAAACCCCUGUGAACAUACCAAUUGUUGCCUCGGCGGAUCAGCCCGCUCCCGGUAAAACGGGACGGCCCGCCAGAGGACCCCUAAACUCUGUUUCUAUAUGUAACUUCUGAGUAAAACCAUAAAUAAAUCAAAACUUUCAACGACGGAUCUCUUGGUUCUGGCAUCGAUGAAGAACGCAGCAAAAUGCGAUAAGUAAUGUGAAUUGCAGAAUUCAGUGAAUCAUCGAAUCUUUGAACGCACAUUGCGCCCGCCAGUAUUCUGGCGGGCAUGCCUGUUCGAGCGUCAUUUCAACCCUCAAGCCCCCGGGUUUGGUGUUGGGGAUCGGCGAGCCCUUACGGCAAGCCGGCCCCGAAAUCUAGUGGCGGUCUCGCUGCAGCUUCCAUUGCGUAGUAGUAAAACCCUCGCAACUGGUACGCGGCGCGGCCAAGCCGUUAAACCCCCAACUUCUGAAUGUUGACCUCGGAUCAGGUAGGAAUACCCGCUGAACUUAAGCAUAUCAAUAAGCGGAGGA
rnacentral:rRNA from 1 species